UGGGGAAUAUUGCACAAUGGGCGCAAGCCUGAUGCAGCCAUGCCGCGUGUAUGAAGAAGGCCUUCGGGUUGUAAAGUACUUUCAGCGGGGAGGAAGGGAGUAAAGUUAAUACCUUUGCUCAUUGACGUUACCCGCAGAAGAAGCACCGGCUAACUCCGUGCCAGCAGCCGCGGUAAUACGGAGGGUGCAAGCGUUAAUCGGAAUGACUGGGCGUAAAGCGCACGCAGGCGGUUUGUUAAGUCAGAUGUGAAAUCCCCGGGCUCAACCUGGGAACUGCAUCUGAUACUGGCAAGCUUCAGUCUCGUAGAGGGGGGUAGAAUUCCAGGUGUAGCGGUGAAAUGCGUAGAGAUCUGGAGGAAUACCGGUGGCGAAGGCGGCCCCCUGGACGAAGACUGACGCUCAGGUGCGAAAGCGUGGGGAGCAAACAGG
rnacentral:rRNA from 1 species